AGAUGCGAUCAUACCAGCACUAAAGCACCGGAUCCCAUCAGAACUCCGAAGUUAAGCUUGCUUGGGCGAGUGUAGUAUUAGGAUGGGUGACCUCCUGGGAAGUCCUCGUGUUGCAUUCC
rnacentral:rRNA from 1 species